rnacentral:rRNA from 1 species
GACGAACGCUGGCGGCGUGCUUAACACAUGCAAGUCGAACGGAAAGGCCCUGCUUUUGUGGGGUGCUCGAGUGGCGAACGGGUGAGUAACACGUGAGUAACCUGCCCUUGACUUUGGGAUAACUUCAGGGAACUGGGGCUAAUACCGGAUAGGAGCUCCUGCUGCAUGGUGGGGGUUGGAAAGUUUCGGCGGUUGGGGAUGGACUCGCGGCUUAUCAGCUUGUUGGUGGGGUAGUGGCUUACCAAGGCUUUGACGGGUAGCCGGCCUGAGAGGGUGACCGGCCACAUUGGGACUGAGAUACGGCCCAGACUCCUACGGGAGGCAGCAGUGGGGAAUAUUGCACAAUGGGCGGAAGCCUGAUGCAGCAACGCCGCGUGCGGGAUGACGGCCUUCGGGUUGUAAACCGCUUUCGCCUGUGACGAAGCGUGAGUGACGGUAAUGGGUAAAGAAGCACCGGCUAACUACGUGCCAGCAGCCGCGGUGAUACGUAGGGUGCGAGCGUUGUCCGGAUUUAUUGGGCGUAAAGGGCUCGUAGGUGGUUGAUCGCGUCGGAAGUGUAAUCUUGGGGCUUAACCCUGAGCGUGCUUUCGAUACGGGUUGACUUGAGGAAGGUAGGGGAGAAUGGAAUUCCUGGUGGAGCGGUGGAAUGCGCAGAUAUCAGGAGGAACACCAGUGGCGAAGGCGGUUCUCUGGGCCUUUCCUGACGCUGAGGAGCGAAAGCGUGGGGAGCGAACAGGCUUAGAUACCCUGGUAGUCCACGCUGUAAACGGUGGGUACUAGGUGUGGGGUCCAUUCCACGGGUUCCGUGCCGUAGCUAACGCUUUAAGUACCCCGCCUGGGGAGUACGGCCGCAAGGCUAAAACUCAAAGGAAUUGACGGGGCCCCGCACAAGCGGCGGAGCAUGCGGAUUAAUUCGAUGCAACGCGUAGAACCUUACCUGGGUUUGACAUGGAUCGGGAGUGCUCAGAGAUGGGUGUGCCUCUUUUGGGGUCGGUUCACAGGUGGUGCAUGGCUGUCGUCAGCUCGUGUCGUGAGAUGUUGGGUUAAGUCCCGCAACGAGCGCAACCCUUGUUCACUGUUGCCAGCACGUUAUGGUGGGGACUCAGUGGAGACCGCCGGGGUCAACUCGGAGGAAGGUGGGGAUGACGUCAAGUCAUCAUGCCCCUUAUGUCCAGGGCUUCACGCAUGCUACAAUGGCUGGUACAGAGAGUGGCGAGCCUGUGAGGGUGAGCGAAUCUCGGAAAGCCGGUCUCAGUUCGGAUUGGGGUCUGCAACUCUACCUCAUGAAGUCGGAGUCGCUAGUAAUCGCAGAUCAGCAACGCUGCGGUGAAUACGUUCCCGGG